AUUGAACGCUGGCGGCAUGCCUUACACAUGCAAGUCGAACGGCAGCACGGGUGCUUGCACCUGGUGGCGAGUGGCGAACGGGUGAGUAAUACAUCGGAACAUGUCCUGUAGUGGGGGAUAGCCCGGCGAAAGCCGGAUUAAUACCGCAUACGAUCUACGGAUGAAAGCGGGGGACCUUCGGGCCUCGCGCUAUAGGGUUGGCCGAUGGCUGAUUAGCUAGUUGGUGGGGUAAAGGCCUACCAAGGCGACGAUCAGUAGCUGGUCUGAGAGGACGACCAGCCACACUGGGACUGAGACACGGCCCAGACUCCUACGGGAGGCAGCAGUGGGGAAUGUUGGACAAUGGGCGAAAGCCUGAUCCAGCAAUGCCGCGUGUGUGAAGAAGGCCUUCGGGUUGUAAAGCACUUUUGUCCGGAAAGAAAUCCUUGGCUCUAAUACAGUCGGGGGAUGACGGUACCGGAAGAAUAAGCACCGGCUAACUACGUG
rnacentral:rRNA from 1 species